UUUGUCUGUACCCAGUGGAACAUUUCUGAAGACUCUACAGAUUGUUCAUUGCCUGUGCAGCAGCAGAUUAACUUGCUGAUAAUAAACUUUUCCUAUUGUGAUUUGUGUAAUAAGUACAGUUAUACUUCACAGGAAGAGCCAUUGUUCUUUUCGUUACAGAGAUGGCCUGGAAGAUCCACUGGAUGGUACAGCUACAGUUUUCCAACAACUGGAGCAACUACACAGUUAGCAGGUGUGGAUGUGAAAAGACCUGUACACUUCUUGGACAGUUGUUUGACCAAAAUGCACAGAACUACCAAAAACUAUUUUGCUCCUCUAGUAGGAAUCAAUUAGAAAUCACAGUCCAGGAAGGACGUCUGGCAUGGCUUGUCUACUUCGUGGGUAUUUUUGUGGGGGGAAUAUUAAUGCACACCAUCACUGAUGAACAUGAUGCUAUGGAUGGAGAAUUAUCCUGUUGGGUGUUUCAGCUGAUGCCUUUCUUGGAUGCCCAGUUACCACAGGCUAGUAAUGAAAAAGUAGAACUGGCAAUUCUGUGGUUCUUGGAUCAGUUUCACAAAACGUAUGUGGGGGAGCAGCCUCAGCACACCUCAAAGAAACACUCCAAGGCACUGCCCAAGCGGUGCAGUUGCAUUUCAGACCUGCCUGCCAUUGAUACUGGAGAGCUGCAUCUGAGAGAGUUGUUCUGUAGCCAAAGUGACUCUGAAGGCGCAGUGAAACGGCUCAGCUCUCGUCUCCUACUCUGUGUGAGGGAGAAACAUAACCUCAGUCCUAAAUGCUGCUGCUGUUCUGUGUGCUGGGCUCUGAAGCAGAAAACUAAUGAUACUGAGCAGUGAAGGUCUGACCCAGCACGGGGCCUGGAGCCACCUACUCUUGCCAUGUAUAUUCCCACAUGUCAGAAGUCUUAGGAAUAACAGAUGACAGCCAUGUUCUGGAAACAUUUGUGACAAAAAUAGGAAGCAUUUCCCUUUCUUGGGCUUCAGUGAUAAUUACAGCAUCAGUGACCUUCAAUGCCAGACGAUGUUCUACGCUGCUCUCACUCAUCUUCUCAUGGUAAAUUUAGGUGAAGAUGAGAAUGAGUUCAAGAAUUUCAUGCUGCUCCUCACAGUUUCAUUUGAGUGUGACUCAGAUGCUCAACAGUAGUUUAGAACAAGAGGCAAAGCGUAUGUUGAUCGGGCUGGCAAGAGAUCUUCGAGGGAUUGCCUUUGCACUAAACACAAAGACCAGCUACACCAUGCUGUUUGACUGGAUAUACCCUACAUACAUUUCUGUUCUGCAAAAAGCUAUUGAACUGUGGUGCCAGGAACCCGCAUGUGCGACACCUAUAUUGAAACUGAUGGCAGAAUUCAUGCAAAACAGGUCGCGACGUUUAAAUUUUGAUGGAUCAUCUCCAAAUGGAAUUCUUCUCUUCAGAGAAGCUAGUGAAAUGAUUUGUACACACAUAGGUAUUCAUUAACAUUUCCUCUGCAGUGUCAUUCUUUACCUGUCUUGUGAUAUAAAAAUCCUGCUAGUUCCUAUCCCUGGCCACUGCUGAGUUUUAGAGAAGGAAGCAGGACUGUGAUGUGCUACCACUGGUCUCAGCCCUUUGUGAGCUGCAGAGCUUGCUGGCAGACCUUUGGAGCUCCAUUCUUUCACAGAUGGGGAUGCGUUCGUGUAGCAUUGUUGCUUGUAUCACUUUAACUCCUCUUUUAGUAACUGUAAAUGGAUUUCAGCAAAGAUACGAAUACUCGUGAGGUGUUUGAUCUCGGCUACUGAUUGAUAGGUGUGGGUUGAUUUUAUAUAUUCAAAUUAUAUUCCAGCAGCUCCAAGACAUAAUAGGACCAUAACAGCUUUACCCUAGAGCACUGUUACAACUGUUCAUAAUAAGUUGCUUCAUUUUACUGUUCCCACUCAGGUAUUCAAUUGCAACAGGUCUGUGACACCAACUGUUUGUAAUAGACUUCAGCUAACUUCGUAGCUUAAAAUUUCACUUCCUAAAUAUUUUGAAAGGAACAUUAGCAUAUUUUUGUAGAUUUGUGGUUUGUGUACAAGGAAGUAGCCAUAAAUGUCCUGCUACUUUUCAAGAAAGAAAACUGGUACAUCAGAUAUGCUUUCAGUGCAUUCAGGCUGCAUUUUAGGUCUGGAAAUUGUGUUUGUUACGUGGCUGCUUGUAAAAAAAACCCUUUGGGUGUAAUCUGCUUUUGAACUGCAGGGUAUGGAAACAGUAUAUGCAGAAUGCAUUUAUGUAGGACAGAAGAAAAUUAUCUGUGUAACUCUCAUUCCUUGCCAAAACAUUUCUCUGUUCUCUUUUUCAAAUACGCCACCUUUUAAGCUGGCACAAACCUUUUAGCUAUAUUCUGAGGUACGUUUGUGACAGUGAUUAAAACAAAAAGAAUUAGGUUUUCCUUGUUGGGAAGACAAGAGGUAAACUUUCAGAUUUCACUAUAAAGUUUAUAGUUUGCAUUUAACAGCUGGAAAUUUUCUUUUAAUGAUUUAAAGAAAUGCAAAUGUAAUCUUGAGCUUCAAGCUCGCUUGUCCUGCAGUACUUGACCCCACUGCCAUUACAUUUUCUUUUGUUCUUUUAAUUGCAGUCAGCCUUUAUCAUCAUUUCUGCUCUUACUGAAAAGCUACCUAAUGAUUGUUCAUCCAGUUAUCUUAGCAGUGGGCCUCCAGUCUGUGAUCCUUGCUUAGUCAGCCAUAAGGCCCCAGUCUUCUUCAUUCUUAACUCAGGUCUACAGUAUGCUCUAUUAAGAAACCUUUUGCUUUCAAAUGCAAAACGUGUGUGUGUGUGAAAUUCAUGAAGUUCUCAGUCCUAAAGGAUUGGUAGUUCUUGUGCACAGGGACCAGACAGCAUCUUCUGGCUCAUGCUAGAAUUUAAUUAAGCACUGUAUAAGGAAGUUUCAGGACAGUGCAGACUUAAGAUGUAAUGAAGCAGUGGAGCCACAGAGCGUGCUGAAGGCUGUGACCAAACACCUGUUGCUGCCUUAGUUAAAUGCUGGUUCUUGUGAAAAGUCGUGAGGGAUGUGUGGCAUCAGUUUGGAGAUGUGUGUUGUAGGAGGACCUGAAGUGAUGGUGUAAGAGCUUUAUUCCACAAUUUCCUUCCCUGUCCUCCAUAACUG